rnacentral:antisense_RNA from 1 species
AUUGAAAAUGUGUUUAUUUACCUGAAGUAUGGGGGACAGAGUGGAUUGAUGUCAUGCAUUUUUGCAAACACAAUCCAUCAUUUAAAAUGAAAUACACUUGUACUGAAUUUUAAAAA